rnacentral:rRNA from 1 species
AUGCAAAAUGCAUUGUUGAAGCUGUGGGCAAUGGUUGAAGAUAGCAAAAGUGCUAGGGUGAAUGAUAAUCUUGAAAGUUCUUUCACUAUCCACCAUCUGACAGAAGAGAAGAACAACCUGGAGGCCAACUAUGACAAGCUAGUCCAAGAUGUGCAUCAGCUUAUGAGCUUCCAGGAGGAUAGGGUGGUGGAUUUCAGACAUCUGCAGUCUGCCAUUACAUAUCAGCAUGAAUGCAGAAGUGAACUGGUGGCUGAUAUGAAUGCACAGAUGACAAAGAAAGAUGCAGAGUUUGAGAAGUUUAAGCAGAAUUAUGAUGUGCUACUGAACCUGACAAGAGCUCAAGCUACAGUCAUCCAGAACCUGAAGUUGAAGCAUAUUACUGAUAAGCAAUUGCUUACUGAAGCUAAGAUGAACUUGGAGUUGAAGAAUGCAGAGCUCACAAAGUCUGAGGAGAAGCUCACCCAAGAUAAGCUAGAGUUGAAGUUUCAGGUUACUGAUUUGCUCAAGGGAAAGGAAAAGCAUGGUGAAGAGAAGGGGCAGCUAGAGCUUCAGAUUGCUGAGCUGAUUAAGGCAGAGGAGAAGCUGAAGGAGAAGAUCAAGGGGAUCCAGGCCAUCUUAGAGAAGUGA